rnacentral:miRNA from 1 species
CAAAAAGAUUAGAUUUGAUUAGAGUGUAUUGGGGGAACCUAAUGAAGCCUUUUUGGUUUGACUGUGUGGACCAUGAACUUCCAAGAGUUCCCCCAAUACACUCUAAUCAAAUCUAAUCUUUUU